AGUGGAAUAGCUGGGUCAAAUGAUAGUUCAAUUCCAAGUUUUCUAAGGAAUAUCCAUACUGCUUUACAGAGUGGUUGCACCAAUCUGCAGUCCCACCAACAAU
rnacentral:pre_miRNA from 1 species